AGACAAAAAAAUUAAUUUGUUCACAUUCUUUGGGAGUAAUGGGCCACGGAGUGAGCUCACUAUACGUCCACCGGUACUGAAGACUCGCUCAGAUGGCACACUAUAGUAGCAGGAAGACACAAGUAUUUCUUAGCUAGUUGAGACAAUGUAGGAAACCAUCUGUAUUCUGCUUUCCACCAAACUAAAGGACUGGUAUCAAUCUCAGCAGUUAGAAAGUCAAGGUUGUGUGUUGCCUUCCUCUUUCUCCAUAUUCUUUAAGAUAGCUGUAAGGCCUUUGGGCUUCUUCGGUGGAGGACCAGAGUCACCAGACACAUCAUUUACGUGUACUUCAGUACUAGAUCUUGUCUCCUGCUCAGUUUAGUCAAAGUCAUCAUGCUCAAGACCAUUAUCCAAUUCUAAAGUCAACAUACCUUCUUCUGUUAUUAAUGAUAAUGUUACUUCUUUGUUUUCUAGAUACAUAAUCUUGAACCAUGGGUCAAGAAAUGAGCAAAUAUCCAAAAUUUCUGUGAGCCUUGGAGAACUGUGUCAAGAACUCAAAUCUGCCAUCAUUGCUUGUUUCAUGGUAGAAGCAAUAUGAUUAUCUUCACUGCAGGGACUCAAUUUACUCUUAACAUGUACUAGUAUGCAACGUAAUGAUGAUACAGUUACUUCUUUUUCACCAGUCAAUUCAUCUGUUAAAUAGUAAACAUUUUUGAGAAAUUCUAA